rnacentral:rRNA from 1 species
GGACGAAGGGCGAAGGGUUAAUAGCCCCUAGCCUGACGGUACCCUUCGAGGAAGCCCCGGCUAACUACGUGCCAGCAGCCGCGGUAAUACGUAGGGGGCGAGCGUUGUCCGGAAUUAUUGGGCGUAAAGAGCGUGUAGGCGGUCCGGUAAGUCCGCCGUGAAAACCCGGGGCUCAACCCCGGGCUUGCGGUGGAUACUGUCGGGCUAGAGGAUGGUAGAGGGGAGUGGAAUUCCCGGUGUAGCGGUGAAAUGCGCAGAUAUCGGGAGGAACACCAGUAGCGAAGGCGGCUCCCUGGGCCAUUCCUGACGCUGAGACGCGAAAGCUAGGGGAGCGAACAGGAUUAGAUACCCUGGUAGUCCUAGCCGUAAACGAUGAACACUAGGUGUGGGGGGAGUCGAAUCUCUCCGUGCCGCAGCCAACGCGAUAAGUGUUCCGCCUGGGGAGUACGGCCGCAAGGCUAAAACUCAAAGGAAUUGACGGGGGCCCGCACAAGCAGCGGAGCAUGUUCUUUAAUUCGAUGCAACGCGAAGAACCUUACCUGGGCUUGACAUGGCGCUGCAAGCGCACGGAAACGUGUGACCUUCGAGGGUGCGCCACAGAUGCUGCAUGGCUGUCGUCA